rnacentral:rRNA from 1 species
UACAGAGGUCCCAAGCGUUGUUCGGAUUCACUGGGCGUAAAGGGUGCGUAGGCGGUCGGGUAAGUCUGAUGUGAAAUCUCCAAGCCUAACUUGGAAACUGCAUUGGAUACUAUCCGGCUAGAGGAAUGGAGGGGAGACUGGAAUACUUGGUGUAGCAGUGAAAUGCGUAGAUAUCAAAGUGGAACACCAGUGGCGAAGGCGAGUCUCUGGACAUUUCCUGACGCUGAGGCACGAAAGCCAGGGGAGCAAACGGG